rnacentral:rRNA from 1 species
GACGAACGCUGGCGGCGUGCUUAACACAUGCAAGUCGAACGGAAAGGCCCUGCUUUUGUGGGGUGCUCGAGUGGCGAACGGGUGAGUAACACGUGAGUAACCUGCCCUUGACUUUGGGUUAACUUCAGGAAACUGGGGCUAACACCGGAUAGGAGCUCCUGCUGCAUGGUGGGGGUUGGAAAGUUUCGGCGGUUGGGGAUGGACUCGCGGCUUAUCAGCUUGUUGGUGGGGUAGUGGCGUACCAAGGCUUUGACGGGUAGCCGGCCUGAGAGGGUGACCGGCCACAUUGGGACUGAGAUACGGCCCAGACUCCUACGGGAGGCAGCAGUGGGGAAUAUUGCACAAUGGGCGGAAGCCUGAUGCAGCAACGCCGCGUGCGGGAUGACGGCCUUCGGGUUGUAAACCGCUUUCGCCUGUGACGAAGCGUGAGUGACGGUAAUGGGUAAAGAAGCACCGGCUAACUACGUG